GACGUAGGGAGCGAGCGUUGUCCGGAUUCAUUGGGCGUAAAGCGCGCGUAGGCGGCCUCGCAAGUCGGUUGUGAAAUCCCGGGGCUCAACCCCGGGACUGCGUCCGAUACUGCGAGGCUGGAGGUAGGUAGGGGAGAUCGGAAUUCCUGGUGUAGCGGUGAAAUGCGCAGAUAUCAGGAGGAACACCGGUGGCGAAGGCGGAUCUCUGGGCCUUACCUGACGCUGAGGCGCGAAAGCUAGGGGAGCGAACAGG
rnacentral:rRNA from 1 species